GUGCCAGCCGCCGCGGUAAUACAGAGGCCCCAAGCGUUACUGAGAAUCACUGGGUUUAAAGGGUGCGUAGGUGGUCCGUUAAGUUCGUUGUGAAAGCCCUGGGCUCAACCCAGGAACUGCUUCGAAUACUGGCGGACUUGAGGCUAGUAGGGGUUACUGGAACUGACGGUGGAGCGGUGAAAUGCGUAGAUAUCGUCAGGAACGCCAAUGGUGAAGACAGGUAACUGGGCUAGUUCUGACACUGAGGCACGAAAGCGUGGGGAGCGAACGGGAUUAGAAACCCCCGUAGUCC
rnacentral:rRNA from 1 species